UACGUAGGUGCCAAGCGUUGUCCGGAUUUACUGGGCGUAAAGAGCGCGCAGGCGGUCGAUCAAGUCGAGUGUGAAAGCCCCCGGCUCAACUGGGGAGGGUCAUUCGAUACUGAUCGACUCGAAGGCAGGAGAGGGUAGUGGAAUUCCCGGUGUAGUGGUGAAAUGCGUAGAUAUCGGGAGGAACACCAGUGGCGAAGGCGACUACCUGGCCUGUUCUUGACGCUGAGGCGCGAAAGCUAGGGGAGCAAGCGGG
rnacentral:rRNA from 1 species